GGCUCAGUGGUAGAGCGCUUGCCUUGCAUGCAUGAGACCCUGGGUUCGAUUCCUCAG
rnacentral:tRNA from 1 species